UACGGAGGGUGCAAGCGUUAAUCGGAAUUACUGGGCGUAAAUCGCGCGUAGGCGGCUCCAUCAGCCGGCUGUGAAAGCCCCGGGCUCAACCUGGGAACGGCAUCCGGAACUGUGGGGCUAGAGUGCAGGCGAGGAAGGUAGAAUUCCCGGUGUAGCGGUGAAAUGCGUAGAGAUCGGGAGGAAUACCAGUGGCGAAGGCGGCCUUCUGGACUGACACUGACGCUGAGGCGCGAAAGCGUGGGGAGCAAACAGG
rnacentral:misc_RNA from 1 species